rnacentral:rRNA from 1 species
GAUGAACGCUGACAGAAUGCUUAACACAUGCCAGUCUACUUGAAUUUGGGUUUUUUAACUUAGAUUUGGGUGGCGGACGGGUGAGUAACGCGUAAAGAACUUGCCUCACAGCUAGGGACAACAUUUGGAAACGAAUGCUAAUACCUGAUAUUAUGAUUAUAAGGCAUCUUAGAAUUAUGAAAGCUAUAUGCGCUGUGAGAGAGCUUUGCGUCCCAUUAGCUAGUUGUAGAGGUAACGGCUCACCAAGGCGAUGAUGGGUAGCCGGCCUGAGAGGGUGAACGGCCACAAGGGGACUGAGACACGGCCCUUACUCCUACGGGAGGCAGCAGUGGGGAAUAUUGGACAAUGGACCAAGAGUCUGAUCCAGCAAUUCUGUGUGCACGAUGACGUUUUUCGGAAUGUAAAGUGCUUUCAGUUGGGAAGAAAAAAAUGACGGUACCAACAGAAGAAGUGACGGCUAAAUACGUG